CACCGAAGCUGCGGCAGCGAACGUAUCACUUAAAGCGAUUCAGCGGGUUACGAUUGACGGAGCGAAGCGACGUCAAAGCGUAUACAAAGUCGAGUCGGUUUAAGGAUACGUUCGUUGGGUAGGGGAGCGUUCUGUAAGCCUGUGAAGGUGUGUCGUGAGGCAUGCUGGAGGUAUCAGAAGUGCGAAUGCUGACAUAAGUAACGAUAAAGCGGGUGAAAAGCCCGCUCGCCGGAAGACCAAGGGUUCCUGUCCAACGUUAAUCGGGGCAGGGUGAGUCGACCCCUAAGGCGAGGCCGAAAGGCGUAGUCGAUGGGAAACAGGUUAAUAUUCCUGUACUUGGUGUUACUGCGAAGGGGGGACGGAGAAGGCUAUGUUGGCCGGGCGACGGUUGUCCCGGUUUAAGCGUGUAGGUGUGUGUUCCAGGUAAAUCCGGUUCACUUUAACACUGAGGCGUGAUGACGAGGCACUACGGUGCUG
rnacentral:rRNA from 1 species